CUUGCAUGGAGUUUUUGUCUGAAAAUAACUACCAUGAAGGAUCACUCCAGAGAGGACAAAAUAUUUUAGGCUCCCUCUUUUUAAGAGCUGGGGUGUUGCCUGUGCUUAGGGCAUUCUAGUAGAUCUCUUUUUUCAGAAUUUCUGGUUUAUUCUGUGAGUAACUCUGGCCAUGAAGAAGAACAACUACAUAAAUUACAGUGUGGGAUUUUGUUUUUUAAAAUGAUAUUAAGGCAUUUCUACAGCCUGUGUUUAGACACACAGAGCUAUGCUGUGAAGGAUCCAGGCACAAACGCUGAGUUUUGGCAUCAAUUUCGAGGAUAAUGUCAUGGAGACUUCCAAAGAUGUUUCAAGUCAAAGGAAUGGCUGGGCACAAGUGGUUUGAACUUGGUGGGAUUCCCAGUAGGACCAUUGCAAUAUCUCCAGGUUUGGAGAUUUAAAAUUUUAGCCUUACAUUAGUAACUUUGGUUCCACAGCUGGAAGUUUUAUUGAAACCUCCCUGAAAAGGAUUGUAAGAGCAAAUUGCUUGAAAUGGCAGGAUUUAGAAUGGGUUCAGGGAAUGAAGAAACAGAUGAUGAGAGGAUCAAGGAGAAGAUGAGUUUAUUAAAACUCAGAAUAUGAUAGCAGAGGUACAAAAAUUACGUUAGUGAAGCAUAAUGUGGAAUUAAAACAAUCCAGAUGUUGCAGACUAUGAUGAACUAUGGGAAGAAAUACAUCCCAAGGAUUGAGGCAACAUGAGGACAGCCAGUCACUGUAGCUGCAAACAUGAUUCUAAUAACUCAGCAAAAGCACAAAGGAGCAGGACAGCACCAUGGAGGUGGAGUUGCAAGGCAGACAGAGGGAUGGAAUCUCCAUCCAGCCCUAUGGAUCCUUCUUGUCUGUUGAAUUAAAACCAGAACUGAGUUUUGGCCCUAAAGCUGGUGAUGAAAAACAGUCUUGUAGGUGAAUGAAGUAUUUUCAAUUGAGCAGUUUAUAAUGGUCAUGGACUAUUUAUGAUGGAGAUGCAUUUUUACAUUUCUAGGCAGGGUUCAGCCCUGCUGGCAUUCAGACUGAUGAUGUAUUAGGACACUUGCAGUGUUCAAUAAAUUCCUGUUUAUUUUGAAUCA
rnacentral:lncRNA from 1 species